rnacentral:rRNA from 1 species
GACGAACGCUGGCGGCGUGCCUAAUACAUGCAAGUAGAACGCACAGUUUAUACCGUAGCUUGCUCCACCAUAAACUGUGAGUUGCGAACGGGUGAGUAACGCGUAGGUAACCUGCCUGGUAGCGGGGGAUAACUAUUGGAAACGAUAGCUAAUACCGCAUAAUAUUGAUUAUUGCAUGAUAAUUGAUUGAAAGAUGCUAUUGCAUCACUACCAGAUGGACCUGCGUUGUAUUAGCUAGUAGGUGAGGUAACGGCUCACCUAGGCGACGAUACAUAGCCGACCUGAGAGGGUGAUCGGCCACACUGGGACUGAGACACGGCCCAGACUCCUACGGGAGGCAGCAGUAGGGAAUCUUCGGCAAUGGACGAAAGUCUGACCGAGCAACGCCGCGUGAGUGAAGAAGGGUGUCGGAUCGUAAAGCUCUGUUGUAAGAGAAGAACGGGUGUGAGAGUGGAAAGUUCACACUGUGACGGUAUCUGACCAGAAAGGGACGGCUAACUACGUG